rnacentral:rRNA from 1 species
CCCUUAGAUGUUCUGGGCUGCACACGUGCUACACUGGCAGGUUCAGCGAGCUUCAUGCCCUGAUCUGAAAGGAAUGGGAAAUCUUUUCAAAACCUGUCGUGCUUGGGAUAGAUGUUUGCAAUUAUUCAUCUUCAACGAGGAUUGCCUUGUAAGCGCACGUCAUCAGCGUGCAUUGAAUACGACCCUGUAUUCUGUACACACCGCCCGUCGCUCCUACCGAUUGAAGUUUUCGGUGAGUCGACAGGAGGAUUUUUUUGAAACUGGUUCGCCAGUGGAUUUUAGAUCCAAAUGCCAACGAAUCGAUGGCUUUAGAGGAAGGAGAAGUCGUAACA